CUCAUUCAGACUUCUGACUUCCAGAACUGCAAACUGAGCUUUUAUCUUUGUUGUCAUCACCACUUGGAAUGUCCUGUUCCCAUAUAUUCACAUGGCUGACCUGGCUGCUUCUUGUCAUUAUGAGCUCAGCUUCACAGAGAGGUCUUCCCUGACCACUCAGUUCAAGCAUCUUCAUCAGUAAUAGAUUCCAGCUCAAGAAACUUUUUCUUUAUUCAUCUGUAAGAAGCAACUCCUGAUCCAUGAAAAUGUUAUGAACUUGAAGCAAUUCAGUCAUGUCUUCAGGAUUUACUUCUAAUUCUAGUUCUCUUGCUGUUUCCACAUCUGCAGUUACUUCCUUCAAUGAAGUCUUGAAUCCCUCAAAGUCAUCCAUGAAGGUUGGAAUCAGCUUUUGCCAGACUCCUGUUAAUGUUGAUAUUUUGACCUCUUCCCAUGAAUUAUGUAUGUUCUUAAUGUCAUCUAGAAUGGUGAAUCCUUUCCAGAAGUUUUUAAUGGACUUUUCCCCGCCUCAUCAGAGCAAUCACAAUCUAGAGCAGCGAUGGCCUUGUGAAAUGUAUUUCUUAAAUAAUAAAACUAAAAAGUCAAAAUGACUCUUUGAUCCAUGGACCACAGAAUGGAUAUUGUGUUAACAGGCAUGAAAACAAAA